UUAUUAGUAUUAAAAUUGUUAUCUAAAUGCAUCUUUUUAAAAAGUGGUAACUACUUUCUUUGUUCCAGUGAUCGGGAGCAGAGAGAGAGAGAAGAAGCUCUUCAGUGUUUUCGUUCUGGAAAAUGUCCUGUGCUUGUUGCGACUUCAGUUGCAGCAAGGGGCCUGGAUAUUGAAAAUGUUCAACACGUUAUAAAUUUUGACCUUCCUUCUGCAAUUGAUGACUAUGUUCAUAGAAUUGGACGAACUGGGCGUUGUGGAAAUACAGGAAAAGCAAUUUCUUUCUUUGAUUCUCAUUCAGACAGUGCUAUUGCACAGCCUCUAGUCAAAGUGCUUGCAGAUGCUCAACAAGAAGUACCAACAUGGCUAGAAGAAAUUGCUUGUAGUUCUUGUGGAACUAGCUUUAGCUCUCCAAGGGGAAAUACAUUUGCAUCUGUUGAUUCUCGAAAGGUAAAUCUUAAAUACAAAUGAUAUGAGUGAUAAAUAAACACUGUUUGGAAACUAGAAAA